rnacentral:lncRNA from 1 species
GCCAGAGAGAGAAGAGGUGUCAGCAAUUCAAGACUGUGUUUCCUUACUCUCUUCAGUGCCUCCUUCCUUGAUAUGAUGUUAAAACCAGGUUCCAUUAAGUCGUUUGAUAACUGCAGUAUUCAAUACUUCCUUGUCUUUGGUAUGUUUUCAUCAGAGAGAGGAAUGGAGUCUUGCCAUGGUGCCCCAGCUGGCUUUGAACUUCUGGGCUCAAACAAUCCUCCUGCCUCAGCCUCCCAGAAUUAUCAAUAUUGAAAGCCAGUUACUGAUGAUAACAUAGAGGGUUGUGUGGAACUGUUCUAGAACUCUGACUGGACUGAGGCAAAAUCUUUAAGCAAAAUUAUUUUAGCACUGUGCUUGGUGCUUUUCCUUAAUAUUUCACAUCGUCUGAAAACAGAAGAUCAAAGUGAAAAUCAGUGAAGCUCACCCAAAUGUCAGAAUUGGUUGUACUUGUAGUUUACAAGAUAAAAUGAACAGACUUGCAUGAUGUUAUCACCAGGACAGUAAUUUAAAUGCUGAUUAUGACUGCAUACACAGUCAAAAGAAAAUGAAUGAUAUUAAAAAUCAUAUAUAAAUGGAACACCUCUCAUACUUUAAGUCCACACGAAGACAUCAUAUAUUUACUAUGUUUCAGAAAUAUCAACAUCUUUGUUUACACGUAAAUUAAAUGUUCAUUUUAUGGCAUAUAAGAUAGCAAUUAACUGACAUCCUACUCAAAUUGAAAUUUAAAACAUGUUAAAUUUAUAUUGAAUAGUAGCCUCUGCAGGGAUAAGAGAGAAGCAGGACUGAUUUUUACUGUGGUGUAAGAAAAUCUAAAUUGUAUGUUUAACUUUUUGUAUGUCAACUAAAUCACAUAGUCCAUUAUGAAGGGAAUAAAAUACACAACAUUAGUUUCAGAAAGUACUCUUUUGAUCAUUUAUUAACAAAAAUAAAACAACAAACAGUUUUUUCCUCCAAAUGAGGCGAUUGCAGGCCUAUUUACUUUGCUUACCAAGUACUCUCUUAAUUUUAGAUUAUUAUAGUUUGUCCUAAUCCAGAAUUUGGAUGAGAUUUGAAGAACAAUACAAUUAAAAUGAGAAUCAAAGUGGUAUCCAGGUUAUUUUUAAACAAACAACUUCUACUAAAGCAAAUAAAUACAUAAUACUUAGUCAAUGUGUUCCAACCAGGAUACUAGAAUGUAUUUAAGACAAAUGAACAAGAAAGUAUCUUUUUGAGUCUUAUUCUCAAAAAAAGAGUAAUCUUAUGAUCUUCUAUAGCUAUAUAAAUAAUUUCUUCAUUAGUGUGUCUAUGUAUAUAAUGUAUAUGUGUGUCUGUAUGUGUAUACAUACAAAUAUAUACACACACACGCAAAUAGAUUUAAAUAAGAAAAUGAACAUGAAACAUUUUAUGCUUAAAUAAAAAAAUGAACUCGGCAGUCAGAGGUGAAAAAUAAUGUGAUUGAACUUUUAAAAGCCUUGGAUAUUUUAGAAGAGAGAUCUUAAAGAUAGAGAAAUGUAUAUUAAAACUACAACCGAUAAUACCAAUAAUUCAUCAUUGCUUCAGGAAAAAUAAAAGUGCUGCCAAAUGGAGGGAAUUUAGAAAUUCCUGAGCGAAGUGCUUGUUGAGAUAAAUUCCUGAAAGGAAAAUUAAACAAACAUGCCAUUAAAACAGGAAGCUUUUUUCUACAAGCAUUACACUUAUAGCAGUAAAACAUAGCAUGAGAUUCGAAGUCUUAUUUUUUAAAAAAGAGAGUUUCAAAUAAAAGUUGACGAUGGA